ensembl:lncRNA
GCAAAGUGGCGAGGCCAGACUGUUUUCAGCAGUGUGCGGAGACAGGACAAGGGGAAAUGGCCAGAAGCUGGUGCGGAACUUCCUAUGCUCCAAUGUGCGCAAGAACUUUACGGUGAGGUGACGGAGCACUGGAACAGGCUGCCCAGGGAGGUUGUGGAGUCUCCUUCUCUGGAGAUAUUCAAGACCCGCCUGGAUGCCUACCUGUGUGACCUGGUGUAGGGAUCCUGCUUUGGCAGGGGGGUUGGACUUGAUGAUCUCUGGAGGUCCCUUCCAACCCCUAUGAUUCUGUGAUUCUGUGUGUGAUCCUCCAUAGUUCUCAGAUAUCCAUAAGACAUGGAAGACCAUCUCUGCCACUGCAGAAUGUAUUUGUAGUGAUCAUACAACAGACAAUCUGUUCUGGAACUCCAGGUUAAUGAGGGCAAUGUCUUGCUGGAUUCAUUUUUUUUUUUACCCCCAUUUGGUCUCCUGGACUAUUUGAAUAAUAGACACUAUCAGUACUAUUACCUUAUGGGGUAAUAUCUGACAACAUGAUGUGCUUAUGAUGGGCUUCACAAAAUACAUCCACGGAUAUAAUUUUUUCUGUUGUAGGAAAACAAUCUGGGCAGCCUUUAUACGGUACUGAGCCAUAAGUAAUGGGUAGAAUUUCAAAUGCAUUAGUACUUCUUGAUAAUUGAUAUAUUUGGUCUGUGAACUAAUUUCAGCAAUCCAGAGUUUUUUCUUAUUGUGUCUUCAGGAGAAUUUGACGCUAAUCUCACAGCUGCUGUUGUGAGACUCUAGCAGAUACGUUCAUCUCACUAGACGUGAAGCCUGUAAUGAUUCGCUGUAGUGCAGCUGUACAAGGCAGUUUCAGUGUCCCAGUGUGGAGACCAGGCAAACAAAGGAAUGCUGGUGCUUGUAUACAACUUCGCAGGCAAAGCUGGACCCAGGAGCUCGGAGAUCCCACUGAGGUUUUAUAUCAAGACGAUGGGCAUCUGAAUUUGGUAACAGCUUCAAUGCAAGAUCAGUCAGUACGAGUGGUUUGUCUGCUAAAUUAAAAAUGAGACUAGACACUGAGUCUGUAUGUGUGAAGAGCAAGGGUGCCAACACUGCUGACAUCCUGACAGUUCUCCGUAGAUCUUUUUCUCUCAGUUGAUCAGAAGUGCACUGUAACUUUGACCUCUGAUGCGUGAUGAUGACAUGCAUAUGUGUUUUCAUAGGCAUAUAUGAACAUACAUUCCAAUUAAUAAGCAUGGAAGACCCGUGAUGGAGAACAGGCACUGAUUAUAUCAGAGCCUAACAAUUAUUCUGUGUUUUAUUUUUUGUGUUCUUUUUUGCUGAUGAAUAAGCUAUUAGGCUUUAAUAUUGCAUUGUCUAGACUAUUUUUUUUUUUUUUCGGAAGAGUUAUUAUAUAAAGGCUGUCUGUGCCUUCUUUGUAAUAUACUGAUGGUCUUGACAGAUUUUUCAGGAGACAUGUGGGACUCAUUUGUUACCCAUCCCAGGAGGGAUGUCAUGAUGAUAAAUAAUGACUGUAUCAGCCAGCGCUCUCUAGAGCGAUGUUCCCCCUGGAACAGGGGUGACUGGAGAAAAAAAUGGCUAAUGGCCCAAGCUGCACUGACAUACAGACUGAAGUUUCCAUGUGACAAUAUACUGAGCUGAGGGCAGGUCCUGAAUGUCAGUAUACAUCACCUCAGCUGGAAAAGCUGCUGUCCAAAUGGUUUCCUGAUUUAGUUUAUUCAGCAGCCUUUCCCACUUUCCUCUGGCCUUACUCCUGGCUACAAAUGGUACAGUACCCAUUUGCAACAUGUGUGAUGGAAACGUCUGGUUAGUAGGCUGUACCUGAGAGCGUAUUAAGUAAAAACACAACAAUGCCUGGAGGUCACAACCAUGGCAGUGUCAGGUGGAGGAUGCUGGAAAUGUACUUUCUAGUUUAGUUGUCAUUUGAGAUGCACUGAAAAUGAAUAGUGAAGUUGACAUUUAUAUAAAUAUCCUGUGUAUUUUCUGGGGUAUCCAGACUCAAAUCUUUCCACGUGUUCAUACAUGCAAUGUGUUUUACAGCCUUCCAGGCCUUACACUGUCAUACACAGGUAGGACAUUGUUGCUGAAUUCAUAAAGAGCAAACGCCAUCAGUGAUGGCUGUCCAGGCAGGCAGCCAGUGUGAUAUGCUGAAGGUGAACAAAUAUUAGAAAUGUCUAAGUUCUGGAAAUUAAUUACUUGAUAUCCACAAAGUGCAUUUACAGACUUGAAGGAAAAAAAAUGAGUUUAGAGACGUUCCAUCUUGCAGGUUUCUAAUCUUCCCAGUCACCUCUGUGUUGGAGUAUCUUCCAAGAGAGCAGUCUCACAAUUAGUUCUCUUUAAUCAAAUAUUUGCCCUUUCCAAUGAAAAUAAUUAUAUAUUUUUCUGGCAGAAAAUUGUUUGAAACACCAUUUCCUCCAUUGUCUAUUUCCAUUUAUUCUUGUGAAUGCAUUUUUAUGCAGAUAUUCAGAAUACAGAAGCUGUACACUAGACUUCGAAGGGAACUUCAGCAACAAUUGUGCGUAGCAAUGUGAGGUCAAUAAACUUCAUUAGGAAAAAAAUAGUUAGCA